AUAUGGUUACAUGUAUCCCUUUACUACUCUCCCAUGACCAAUCAAGAAUGAAUUACAACUAAAUUUCAUGCAUUCAUUGUGGAUGUUAUCACAUUUAUAUUGAAAUUGUUGUGGAAAACUUGUGUAUUCAAUCUGCGAAAUUCAAAACGUUCACAGCUUACUAAAUUAUACAGAGGAACAUUGAAGUCUAGAAGUGUAAACAACAAAAGUAUGUGCUCCACAAUUUCAAUCCUGCUGCUUGUGUUUUGCUUUGUCCUGAGUGAAAUCUGCGCUAGCACGAUUAGAACUGAUUCUGUCGAUGCGAGAGAAAAACCAGAGGAAAUCCCGAAAAUGAUACCAUCAGGCCAAGCGUCAUUUCACGUGACGCGUGUCAAUACAGUUGUGCUUUUUGGUAUCGCUGCAGCUGUCCUGUGGAUUGUCAAGGGUUGACAUCAGUUGGAUUCAAACAUGAGAUAUUUCAGAAUCACCAAUAAAUGUAAUUGUUUGAUCUUGCAUUAAAAGUUCAUUCAAGCAGUAAAA